rnacentral:rRNA from 1 species
UACGUAGGGUGCGAGCGUUGUCCGGAAUUACUGGGCGUAAAGAGCUCGUAGGUGGUUUGUCGCGUUGUUCGUGAAAACCGGGGGCUUAACCCUCGGCGUGCGGGCGAUACGGGCAGACUUGAGUACUGCAGGGGAGACUGGAAUUCCUGGUGUAGCGGUGGAAUGCGCAGAUAUCAGGAGGAACACCGGUGGCGAAGGCGGGUCUCUGGCCCGGUACUGACGCUGAGGUGCGAAAGCGUGGGGAGCAAACAGG